UACGUAGGGUGCGAGCGUUGUCCGGAAUUAUUGGGCGUAAAGAGCUUGUAGGCGGUCUGUCGCGUCUGCUGUGAAAAUCCGGGGCUCAACCCCGGACUUGCAGUGGGUACGGGCAGACUAGAGUGUGGUAGGGGAGACUGGAAUUCCUGGUGUAGCGGUGAAAUGCGCAGAUAUCAGGAGGAACACCGACGGCGAAGGCAGCUCGCUGGGACGGUACUGACGCUGAGGCGCGAAAGCGUGGGGAGCGAACAGG
rnacentral:rRNA from 1 species